GUUGAGCUAACCAGUACUAAUGAACCGUGAGGCUUAACCUGACAACACCGAAGGUGUUUUAG
rnacentral:rRNA from 1 species